UCAAAAUUGCAAGAGGACUCUCAGCAAAGACAGGGACGACAGCUCUGAGGCCCGCCACACUAAAAAACACAAAAAGAGUAAGAAAAAGAAGAAAUCAAAGGAUAAAGACAGACACCGUGAGAGUGGAAGUUCUGACGGAGAUUCAGACAGAGCUGCGGAAAUGAAGAAGAAAAGGAAAAAGAAGAGACAUCGGGACAGCGAUCCCGAACUGCACAGCCCAGACGCAGCUCGGAGCCACAGAAACAGAAGCAGCGAGGAAAGGGAGAGCCGCAAGCGACACCACUCUGACAGAGACUUUGAACAUGACAAUGGUUUUCCAUCGGAAAAACGUCGCUGCACAGACUACGCUGACGGCAGCGGUGACCAUCUACUACCUUCCGAUCAUACGCACCGGCAAACGGUUCAAGUUACGGCCAUCUCAAUGGACAACCAGGUUACAGCCAAAUCAGCGGCAGUGGAUUUCCCAGUGACCUGAAACACUGACUCUAUCCAUCAACCGAAUUUUAACAACAGCAGAGGAAUGACAUCAACCUUUUAGAUGUGGUGCUUCUUCAUUAGGAAUAAUAUUGUAUUUUUACCUUAAGUAAAGUGUUUUAAAAUUUAAACUAUCCCC